CCGCGCCCCUUUUUUGCAAGUAUGGCAGACUGAGAAAAGGAGGAAUAGACCCAUUAUACCAUGUGUGCUCCAGAUGAGGCCGGCAGAUCUCCGAAGAGGGGGAAGAGUGUGGAAAUGAAUGGAGGAAACGAGACAGAGCCUCCUGAUUGUCUUUCACUCUCAAAAAUAUAAACCCUUCCCACCCUCCAGAAGCCCCAAACAGGAAGCACUGGUUGGCAAAUGGACAGGCCCGUUUCCGUAGCGACAAGGGGAGCGUAAAAGCCCUGUCUGCUCUGGCUCACAUUGUGCCUCCUUAACCGGAUGAGACUGGAGGAGGGGAAGUGAUGGAGGGGAGAGCAGUGGGACGGACAGGGACUUUUUAUAAUCUGUCCCAGAGGGAAGCAGAGAGAGCA